rnacentral:rRNA from 5 species
CCCAUGCCGAACUCAGAAGUGAAACGCCGUAGCGCCGAUGGUAGUGUGGGGUCUCCCCAUGCGAGAGUAGGGAACUGCCAGGC